CGCGUAGGUGGUUUUGUUAAGCGAGAUGUGAAACGCCCCGGGCUUAACCUGGGAACGGCAUUUCGAAACUGGCAGGCUAGAGUGUGGUAGAGGGUAGUGGAAUUUCCUGUGUAGCGGUGAAAUGCGUAGAUAUAGGAAGGAACACCAGUGGCGAAGGCGGCUACCUGGACCAACACUGACACUGAGGUGCGAAAGCGGUGGGGAGGCAAACAA
rnacentral:rRNA from 1 species